rnacentral:tmRNA from 14 species
CAUGUAAUAAACGGAUCGGACCCGGGGGCGGUACCCGGCGUCUCCACCAUAUAUCCCUUGUUGGGGGAUCUUGGGGACGAAACAGGAUCGACGAACGCGUAAAGAUGUAGCUUUGUCCCGGUGAGAUACCACCGUUAUCGGUUCACAAAGUAUAGUUGCAAAUGACAACAAUGCUCCGGUAGCACUUGCCGCGUAAGUGGUC